rnacentral:lncRNA from 12 species
UCUUGACUGGUUCCUUCUGUCCUGGACAGACAAGGAAUCUGAAAUAUAGCUUUUGGAGCCGAGGAAUAAUAUCACAUCAUGCCAGUACAAUUAGAAACCAAGAAAGACAGUAUAAGAAUGGUCCUGAUUACUGUUUCAGUAUUACACAUGCUGCCACAUGGAAGAGAAGCAUGACAUCGGCAUUUAAAAAAGCAGCUUGAGAGAUCAUUCAAAUACUCCCCAUGCAAUGCUGAGUGCACCAAGAAUACCAAAAGAUGACCACAC